AUUGAACGCUGGCGGCAUGCCUUACACAUGCAAGUCGAACGGUAACAGGUCUUCGGAUGCUGACGAGUGGCGAACGGGUGAGUAAUACAUCGGAACGUGCCCGAUCGUGGGGGAUAACGGAGCGAAAGCUUUGCUAAUACCGCAUACGAUCUACGGAUGAAAGCAGGGGACCGCAAGGCCUUGCGCGGACGGAGCGGCCGAUGGCAGAUUAGGUAGUUGGUGGGAUAAAAGCUUACCAAGCCGACGAUCUGUAGCUGGUCUGAGAGGACGACCAGCCACACUGGGACUGAGACACGGCCCAGACUCCUACGGGAGGCAGCAGUGGGGAAUUUUGGACAAUGGGCGCAAGCCUGACCCAGCCAUGCCGCGUGAAGGAAGACGGCCUUAUGGGUUGUAAACUUCUUUACUAUGCGACUAACUAGAUUUACGAGAUAAUUCUAUAGAAUGUAGCAUAGCAAAAAGCACCGGCUAACUCCGUG
rnacentral:rRNA from 1 species